rnacentral:rRNA from 1 species
AUUGAACGCUGGCGGCAUGCCUUACACAUGCAAGUCGAACGGCAGCACGGGUGCUUGCACCUGGUGGCGAGUGGCGAACGGGUGAGUAAUACAUCGGAACGUACCUUAUCGUGGGGGAUAACGCAGCGAAAGCUGUGCUAAUACCGCAUACGCCCUGAGGGGGAAAGCGGGGGAUCGCAAGACCUCGCGCGAUUAGAGCGGCCGAUGCCUGAUUAGCUUGUUGGUGGGGUAAAAGCCCACCAAGGCGACGAUCGGUAGCUGGUCUGAGAGGACGAUAACCAGACUGGGAUUUAGACAAGGCCCAGACUCGUCUGGGAGGCAGCAGUGGGGAAAUUUGGACAAUGGGUGGAACCCUGUUCCAGCAAUGCCGCGUGAGUGAAGAAUGCCUUCGGGUUGUAAAGCUCUUUUGUCAGGGAAGAAACACCGGCUCUAACACAGUCUGGGAAUGACGGUACCUGAAGAAUAAGCACCGGCUAACUACGUGCCAGCCGCGGUGAGAC